AGUGAACGCUGGCGGUAGGCCUAACACAUGCAAGUCGAGCGGAUGACGGGAGCUUGCUCCUUGAUUCAGCGGCGGACGGGUGAGUAAUGCCUAGGAAUCUGCCUGGUAGUGGGGGACAACGUUUCGAAAGGAACGCUAAUACCGCAUACGUCCUACGGGAGAAAGCAGGGGACCUUCGGGCCUUGCGCUAUCAGAUGAGCCUAGGUCGGAUUAGCUAGUUGGUGAGGUAAUGGCUCACCAAGGCGACGAUCCGUAACUGGUCUGAGAGGAUGAUCAGUCACACUGGAACUGAGACACGGUCCAGACUCCUACGGGAGGCAGCAGUGGGGAAUAUUGGACAAUGGGCGAAAGCCUGAUCCAGCCAUGCCGCGUGUGUGAAGAAGGUCUUCGGAUUGUAAAGCACUUUAAGUUGGGAGGAAGAGCAGUAAGUUAAUACCUUGCUGUUUUGACGUUACCGACAGAAUAAGCACCGGCUAACUCUGUGCCAGCAGCCGCAGUAAUAC
rnacentral:rRNA from 1 species